GGGGAAUAUUGCACAAUGGGCGCAAGCCUGAUGCAGCAACGCCGCGUGAGGGAUGACGGCCUUCGGGUUGUAAACCUCUUUUAGUAGGGAAGAAGCGUAAGUGACGGUACCUGCAGAAAAAGCACCGGCUAACUACGUGUCAGCAGCCGCGGUAAUACGUAGGGUGCAAGCGUUGUCCGGAAUUAUUGGGCGUAAAGAGCUCGUAGGCGGCUUGUCGCGUCUGCUGUGAGAACCCGGGGCUCAACCCCGGGCCUGCAGUGGGUACGGGCAGGCUAGAGUGCGGUAGGGGAGAUUGGAAUUCCUGGUGUAGCGGUGGAAUGCGCAGAUAUCAGGAGGAACACCGAUGGCGAAGGCAGAUCUCUGGGCCGUAACUGACGCUGAGGAGCGAAAGCAUGGGGAGCGAAC
rnacentral:rRNA from 1 species